GCGCCUAACACAUGCAAGUCGCACGAGAAAGGGCUUCGGCCCCGGUAAAGUGGCGCACGGGUGAGUAACACGUGGGUAAUGUUCCCUCGGGCGGGGGAUAACCUUCCGAAAGGAGGGCUAAUACCGCAUAAGACCACGGCCUCGAAAGGGGCUGAGGUCAAAGCAGGCCUCUUCAUGAAAGCUUGCACCUGAGGAUCAGCCCGCGGCCCAUCAGCUAGUUGGCAGGGUAAAAGCCUACCAAGGCUAAGACGGGUAGCUGGUCUGAGAGGAUGAUCAGCCACACUGGAACUGAGACACGGUCCAG
rnacentral:rRNA from 1 species